rnacentral:tRNA from 3 species
GGAGAGGUGGCCGAGCGGUUUAAGGCGCAGCACUGGAAAUGCUGUGUGGGGGUAACUUCACCGUGGGUUCAAAUCCCACCCUCUCCG